UCUUUGUUCUUUGACCUUUUUGUCCCUCACUGCUGUCCUGAUUGAUUCUAUCGCCAUGUUUGGUAUUUGAGAGAGAGAGCGAGGGGUUGGAUUUUGAUCAUCCGUCAUGCAUGGAGGCAGAAAUAGGGGAGCGAAGGAUCUUUAUCAAGCAGCUAAGAGAAUUUUUUAUCAGUUGCCAAUAUUGCAAUUAUGUGAGGCAAUGCCGUGCCUGCCGCAUCAGUAUCAAGGAAAGCAAGCCGAGAUCUCCGAGCAAUGAAAUCAAUGACUGAUUCACAGUACUCAUUUCGUGCACAAUCGAGACCAUGUUUGAGAAAUACAAUUUUGUUGGUGUCUUUAUUCAAAAUUGAAGCUUUUUUAACACUGUAUGCUCAAGGUGCUUAUAGAGAUGAUUAAAGGUUAAAUGUUUAUAUACAUGUUUUUACCCCAAUUCGUUAGUUCUUUCUACAUUGUUUGUACAAAUAAGCAUAUCUUUUGUCUUACUUUUUGUUUUGUGGAAUUUCUGGAGUGCAAGGUUUAGAAGGUGUUUUUCUGAUUAAGUUAGCCUGGUACAAGGAAAAGGUCUACCGUCAAAAUAAGGAAUUUCCACGAACAAGCAUGCUAGAUCCCAAAGUUUAUGGUGAUCAGACCAGUACAAUAACAGAAGAAGACACAUCAAGCAUAACUUGGAUGCACUGACAGUGGAAAGGGCACUCAAGAGCAACAAGCUAUUCAUAUUAGACCAUCAGGAUGCAUUGAUGCCAUACUUACAGCAUAUAAAUUCAAAUACCUCCUUAAAGAUCUAUGCUAGCGGGACACUGCUUUUCUUGAAAAGUGAUGG